rnacentral:rRNA from 1 species
UACGGAGGAUCCAAGCGUUAUCCGGAUUUAUUGGGUUUAAAGGGUGCGUAGGCGGCCUGUUAAGUCAGGGGUGAAAGACGGUAGCUCAACUAUCGCAGUGCCCUUGAUACUGAUGGGCUUGAAUGGACUAGAGGUAGGCGGAAUGAGACAAGUAGCGGUGAAAUGCAUAGAUAUGUCUCAGAACACCGAUUGCGAAGGCAGCUUACUAUGGUCCUAUUGACGCUGAGGCACGAAAGCGUGGGGAUCAAACAGG